UAGGGGGCGUGGAGAGAGGCGGGCGCGAGGCGCGCAGCGGAGGGACCGCCCCGCCGGGGCAACGCCGCCGGCCGCCUCUUCACCUGUUGCCGGGGACUGUGCGGCGGAGGGGGCGCGGAGUCGCGCCCAGGGUCGCGGGGCUGCGGCGCGGAGGGGGAGGGGACGCGGGGUCCUGGCCGCCCGCUGCCCCCUGCCCGGCCGGGCCUCGGACAGGCCCCGCCUCCCUCGGGCGGGCAGCCACCGAUGACCUGUCUCCUCGCACCUGACCGCGCGGCGUAGGCUGCAGGGCCCCUCGGGGACACCGAGGCCUCCGCUAAUGAGCUCCCUGAGCGGCGACGGGGCCGGGGGGCGGGGUGGCGGCUCGCAGGCGAGAAAGAGCCGCGGGAACUCUGACCCGGCCGGACCUUAGACCCGAGAUCGAUGCGAGGCCGCCAGGACCGCCAGGAGACGGCCCGAGGUUCUCCCCCGCCCGCUGCGGCCGCCACCGCAGCCCGGCGUUAUUUCCUGCCCCUCCUGUCGGGAACAAUAGUCAAGGUCACAAAAGAGAAAGAAACAUUUGAGGAAGUGUCCACACUGAAAGAGACGAAGGAGACCUGGUGGUUAAAUGCAAUGUGAAAUCCUCGAUCAGAUCCUGGGUCAGAAAAAGAACAAUAGUGAGUGAAGUGGAAUAAGAAAACACAUUGGGAAGCUCACAUUCUUCCGGUACACGGCUCCUCGGGGGAAACUCGGCCUGGGGAAGAGACAUGCUAUUCAGGCCCCUUUGCAUUUGGAACCAUUUGAAUGCACACAUGUUUUGCAUACUGCUGUUCCAGCUGUGGCCUGCACGAAGGAGCUGUAAUCAGCAGAGGCACCAAUCUGAUGCCAGGUACUUUUAGAUCUGGUCGAGUAUCACCAUUUCCUGGCAGCUGGCAGGGAAGUGUCUUGGGUCAGCAGUGCCUUUUUUGCACAAAUGGGCUGGGGCAGCCUCGUGAACGAGUUACUUUUCCACAAGGUACUGAAACAAUGCUAAUAUGUCGGAGUCCUGGGAUUUUCAUGGCUGGCAUUCUGAAGUGUUUUUCUCAUAUUGCACAUUACCGCACCACUUUUUCUUUCUUAAGGUGGAUCUCUUUCUCCAAAGUCCUGGAAGGGGAGCUGAAGCCACAAAGUCUUGGCCCUAAUGAGCAUGCCCGACUCUGUUUUGUCUUAUUUUCACACAUAGGGUCCUCUCUACAGAUGACACGUGCGCUUUUAAAAACUGCUCAGCCUACUUUAAACUGCCUUUAAACUAUUACCCUGGAUUUCCUUUAGGAAAUGACUCCUUCCUCAUUCUCAGCCCCGCUAUUUGGAUGGGACUGAGCCCACCCUCAGUCCCAGGGCUGGGCCAUGAUUGGCUUAAUCACCAUCUUGGCCACUUGCCUGGUUCAGGGAAAGAAAUAUGACCCGAUUAGAGCUAAUGAGACAGGAAGAUGUUUGCAGGGGCCGCUUCACUGCUGUACAAUAGCAGAGCCUGCCAUAGCUGGAGGGAGGGCAAUUGGUGUUGAUGUGGAGGGAAAGAGUUUUCCAUGAAGUCAUCUGGGCCCUGGUUCACACGGCUCCUGAAGCUAGCCCUGCCUUUGGAUGUUUUGGUUAUAUGAGCCAACACAGUCCCUUUCUUGUUAAGGCAGUCUGAGGUUUUGAGGGGGAGAUUGCUUUUGUUUUGUGUUGAUUUUUGUCAUUCGAAACACACAGAUCCUUACCUGAUACAUACAUAAUAUUUCUAAUGUGAUUUGGAUUUAUCCAUUUUCAGACCAGUGACUUAAAGGAUGAAUCCAGGCUGCAACAGGUCAUUUAAAACAUAACAGUUUGCUGCAAAAAGUACAAAUUGCUGGCAACAGAGUUUCGUCGCAUUUGAAAAUUACUUUUUUUUCAGUCCUUAAUCAGAACUGAGCACCCUGACUAGUCUUUCAUGACCUUCUCCCUCUGUAAAAAUGAGCUGUAAUUCAUGCGUGUAGCAGUGUGGAUCCAACGAGGAGAUAGAAUCAUACAAUAGGUUCAACAGGGAUGUUUUAUAUAAAGAAGUAUUAACUGUGAUAAAAGUGUAACUGUAAGAUAAAAGGAAAUGAUAUGGUACCCUAGGAGGGAGGGAGAGCACCCACUGAAGGUCAGUCUUGGAAGGGGUCCAGGUCUCACUGGAGAAGGUGUGACUCGGCCCACUGGACAGCAGGGAAGUCUGGCUG